rnacentral:rRNA from 1 species
GAAAGCGCAUACGGUGGAUGCCUAGGCGGUAGGAGGCGAAGAAGGACGUGGUAGCCUGCGAAAAGCCUCGGGGAGCUGGCAAACAAGCUUUGAUCCGGGGAUGUCCGAAUGGGGCAACCCGAUUGCCAUCAGGCAAUCAUCCCGGUUUAUCCGGGAGGCGAACCCAGGGAACUGAAACAUCUAAGUACCUGGAGGAAGAGAAAUCAACCGAGAUUCCCUCAGUAGCGGCGAGCGAACGGGGAAGAGCCUGGCACGAUUUAGCUUUCAGUUUAGUGGAACGGUCUGGAAAGUCCGACCUGAGGGGGUGAUAGUCCCGUACACGAAAGGCUGGGAGUGGAACUAGGCGUGCGAACAAGUAAGGCGGGACACGUGUUAUCCUGUCUGAAGAUGGGGGGCCCACCCUCCAAGGCUAAAUACUCCCUACCGACCGAUAGUGAACCAGUACCGUGAGGGAAAGGCGAAAAGAACCCCGGAGAGGGGAGUGAAAUAGAACCUGAAACCGUAUGCGUACAAGCAGUCGGAGCCUGUCUUCGGACGGGUGACGGCGUACCUUUUGUAUAAUGGGUCAGCGAGUUACUUUCAGUGGCGAGGUUAACCGUUUGUUGGGGAGCCGUAGGGAAACCGAGUCUGAAUAGGGCGUUGAGUCGCUGGGAGUAGACCCGAAACCGGGCGAUCUACCCAUGGCCAGGGUGAAGGUGGGGUAACACCCACUGGAGGCCCGAACCGGUUACUGUUGCAAAAGUAUCGGAUGAGCUGUGGGUCGGAGUGAAAGGCUAAACAAGCCCGGAGAUAGCUGGUUCUCCCCGAAAACUAUUGAGGUAGUGCCUCGUGUCUGACUUCCGGGGGUAGAGCACUGUUUUGGUUGGGGGCCCCAUCUAGGGGUACCCCGCUAAGGCAAACUCCGAAUACCGGAAAGUCCAAUCACGGGAGACAGACAGCGGGUGAUAAGGUCCGUUGUCGAGAGGGAAACAGCCCAGACCGCCAGCUAAGGUCCCCAAAUCACCGCUAAGUGGGAAACGAUGUGGGAAGGCGAAGACAGCCAGGAGGUUGGCUUAGAAGCAGCCACCCUUUAAAGAAAGCGUAAUAGCUCACUGGUCGAGUCGGCCCGCGCGGAAGAUGUAACGGGGCUUAAGCGGUGUACCGAAGCUGCGGAUGCAAGUUGACUUGCAUGGUAGGGGAGCGUUCCGUAGGCCUGCGAAGGUGUGUCGAAAGGCAUGCUGGAGGUAUCGGAAGUGCGAAUGCUGACAUGAGUAACGUUAAAGGGGGUGAAAAACCCCCUCGCCGAAAGCCCAAGGUUUCCUGCGCAACGCUAAUCGGCGCAGGGUUAGUCGGCACCUAAGGCGAGGCCGAAAGGCGUAGUCGAUGGAAAACCGGUUAAUAUUCCGGUACCUGUUGUGACUGCGAUGGGGUGACGGAGAAGGCUAGGCCAUCCGGGUGACGGACGUCCCGGUUCAAGCGUGUAGGGAGUGUUCCCAGGCAAAUCCGGGGGCACCAUCCUGAGACGUGAUGACGAGCUCUUACGAGAGCGAAGUGGUUAAUGCCCGGCUCCCAAGAAAACCCUCUAAGCUUCAGGUCACGAGAGGCCGUACCGCAAACCGACACUGGUGGGCGGGGCGAGAAGCCCAAGGCGCUUGAGAGAACCCAGGUGAAGGAACUAGGCAAAAUGGCACCGUAACUUCGGGAGAAGGUGUGCCCCUGUGUAGGUGAUUAGACUUGCUCUAUGAGCCGAAGGGGGUUGCAGUGACCAGGGGGCUGCGACUGUUUACCAAAAACACAGCACUCUGCUAACGCGCAAGCGGACGUAUAGGGUGUGACGCCUGCCCGGUGCCGGAAGGUUAAGGGAUCCCGUUAUCUUCGGAGAAGCGGGUGAACGAAGCCCCGGUAAACGGCGGCCGUAACUAUAACGGUCCUAAGGUAGCGAAAUUCCUUGUCGGGUAAGUUCCGACCUGCACGAAUGGCGUAACGAUGGCCCCACUGUCUCCACCUGGGACUCAGUGAAGUUGAACUCGCUGUGAAGAUGCAGUGUACCCGCGGCUAGACGGAAAGACCCCGUGAACCUUUACUACAGCUUUACGCUGGAUGCUGGGCUCACUUGUGUAGGAUAGGUGGGAGGCUUUGAAGCCGGGACGCUAGUUCCGGUGGAGCCGACCUUGAAAUACCACCCUGGUGAGUCUGGUGUUCUAACCUGGAGAAGUGAUCCUUCUUGGGGACAGCGUAUGGUGGGUAGUUUGACUGGGGCGGUCUCCUCCCAAAGGGUAACGGAGGAGUACGAAGGUACCCUCAGCCUGGUUGGAAAUCAGGCGGUGAGUGCAAGGGCACAAGGGUGCUUGACUGCGAGAGUGACGGCUCGAGCAGGUGCGAAAGCAGGUCCUAGUGAUCCGGUGGUGCUUCGUGGAAGGGCCAUCGCUCAACGGAUAAAAGGUACUCCGGGGAUAACAGGCUGAUACCACCCAAGAGUUCAUAUCGACGGUGGUGUUUGGCACCUCGAUGUCGGCUCAUCUCAUCCUGGGGCUGAAGCCGGUCCCAAGGGUAUGGCUGUUCGCCAUUUAAAGAGGUACGCGAGCUGGGUUCAGAACGUCGUGAGACAGUUCGGUCCCUAUCUGCCGUGGGCGUUGGAGACUUGAGGGGAGCUGCUCCUAGUACGAGAGGACCGGAGUGGACGGACCUCUGGUGGUCCGGUUGUCACGCCAGUGGCACAGCCGGGUAGCUAAGUCCGGACGGGAUAACCGCUGAAGGCAUCUAAGCGGGAAGCCCUCCCCAAGAUGAGGUCUCCCAGGAUCCUAUGAGAUCCCUCAAGGGCCCUCGAAGACGACGAGGUGGAUAGGCGGGAUGUGGAAGCGCAGCAAUGCGUGCAGCUGACCCGUACUAAUUGCCCGUGAGGCUUGACC